CGGGAGGCGCAUGGCCAGCGGCUAUGGCCGAGGCUCCGACAGAUACCCGGGAGGAGUGGCACCGGGCGCGCGGCUGCUGGAAGCUCAUCCAGAACCUUGACUUCGCGAUUCAACAAUUUCAGUUCAACCCCAGAUUUAACAUUUCAGAUGAUUUGAAGGUCGGCUUUUUCACCACAGACCACGCUACUCAAACAGAUUCUAGUGAAAUUUUGCCAUUAAAGGAGUUGAGUUCCUGUACAAAAAAGUUAGUGAAGAUUGUUUCAUCCCUUGAGCAGGAUUAUAGGUUUGUCAAGCAAUUUCUUCAAAUGAAAUUUGAGGACCGGCUUCAAGAGGAAUCUUCCAAUAUCUUCAAUGAUCUACAUGACAGGAUCCUUGAAAUAGAAAGACGUUAUCAUCAGAAUGAGGAUACCAUGAGAAAAUGCUUUAACCAGCAGUUAGCUGAUGCCAUUGCUGAUAUCAGAGGAAUGUAUAAGAAAUAUUUUGAUGUUGAAGAAGAGAAGGCUGCUUUGCAAGAUGCAACAAAUAUCAAGCUGAAUAUUUUGGAAAAAAAGCUGAAAGAGAAAGAACGAAUUAUUAGGGAAUUGAAAGAAGAACUAGAACGUUGUGAAGAAGCUGGAUUUCUAAAACUUGACCUCUUUGCCAAAGAGACCAGCUCUCCAAGACAAACCUUUGAAAAGGAAAACUCAGAGUACAAACAGGAGAAUGAGAGACUGCUUCAAGUGAUUGCAGGUCUGGAAGAAGAAAUUCGACUCAAUAUCAAAGAAAAUUCAGUACUAGAAGAUGAAAUUAUAAAUCUCAAAGAGAUUUCAGAGCAGGAUCAGAGAACUAUUCAAAAGUUAAUGGAUAGCAGAGAAAGAUUAAGAUAUGAACUUGAGUGUGAAAAAUCAGUAGUUCAAGAUAUGAUUAAUAAACAGAAAGAAGACAUGGAGCUUAGAAAAAAGUACGAUAGUAACCUGAAAACAGGCUGGGGAAGAGAAGGCUCUUUGUCCCCAUGGCCCUCCCAUUCUGGGACUUUAUCCAGGAGUACGACACCUUUGAGGCCACGCUCUGCUGCCGCUCGUAGUACAUCACCUGUUAGGACUAAAAAAGUGAAGCUUUCAAAGAAAACUACAAAGGAAGAGCCUCCUCAAGAGCAAACUAAAAUCUCACCUAAGUUUCCUGAGGAUUCGGUGGAUACCCAACGUGAACCCUCCAAAAGAAAAAAAGAUGAAACGGGUCAGGUUAAACAUCUACCACCCACGAAGACGCAAGAAGAAAGGAAAGCGAAAGCCUCAGCGACGAGGGAUGAAGGGAGAAGAAUUUUGGAGAUGCACGUGGAAACGUUAAAGGCUAAUUUGGAGAAUCAGAAGAAGAAAUUAGAAAGAUGUAAAAAGGAAUCAGAGCAGAUAAACAAAAACUGGGAGAGGAAAUUCCAUAUUCUCAGGAACAGCUUUCAUGUCCUAAAGGAUGAGAUGUUUACUAGGCACACACUGUUUCGUCAGUUUGCAGUGCUCGCUGAUACAUCCUUCAAUUAUGUGAGAGUGAAACCUUUAUUUGUGCAGUCUAAAUUAAACUUGGAAGAAACCGCAUCUUCUUCAAGUGAUUAUCAUUUGACUUUGAUAGAAAAAAAGUACCCAGAAACAGUUAGUGAUCAGCUCUCCUUGCAUCAAUCACCCAGAGUGGGUCGUGUUUCUUCCCAGAGGGUCAGUGACUGGCCUUGGUCACAGGCAGUGAAUCGAGGAUCCUCCAAAGAACCUUGGGAGAAGAUAUGGGUACAUCAUCCUACUCCCCCACCCCCAAUGAAUGAUGUGGACCCAACUGGGCUUCUUAGAGAGACCACAGAAUAGAGGACCCUCCUCAUCCUGGAUGGCAUAUAAUGCCUGCCUCUUUAGCCAGAAAUACUGUCUCCAAGGCGUUUCUGAACCAUUGGAUUUCUCCAGAUUAGGAACACUAACUCAAGCACCGCAAUUUAGAAUUGGAACACGCCUUUUUCUCGCAUCUUUUCUGAGCCCCAAUGAAACCUCUCCUGCGCUCCUGCAGGGUGGGCUGGACGCACAGACCCUGAGGGGUCACCAAAUCCAUUCUAGUCGCCUGGGAUCAGAGUCUUUAACACAAAAUGAGAACUACUUGCUGCCUUCUGACCAGUGAACUAAGUCCUUUGAGAGUGAAGCAUACACAUGGAGGGGAGUUUGUAUUUCCUUUGGGAAAAUCCCCUAUUCUCUUCAUUGGCUACACGUGGCUCCGUAUCAUAAGGACUCCGUAAACAAGUCUUUAAUACGUGGGGAAACUUUUUGAAGUUUUGCUUUUUGGUAAGUAUGAAGAUCCAGUGCUGAGUUUAAGUGUUCAGUCUGGAAUGUCAGGUGCCAUUUACUGAAACGCCUGGUUGCUUUUCUCUGUGCGUAAUGUUCAACUUGGUCUUUUCUCUUCUCCUAAAUACAAGUUCAAGUUCGGGCCUGUCA